GAUGAACGCUAGCUACAGGCUUAACACAUGCAAGUCGCAGGGUAACAUGAGGAAAGCUUGCUUUCCUUGAUGACGACUGGCGCACGGGUGAGUAACGCGUAUCCAACCUUCCCAUAACUACGGGAUAACCCGUUGAAAGACGGCCUAAUACCGUAUGACAUCGUUUGCUGACAUCAAAUAACGAUUAAAGGUUUAGCGGUUAUGGAUGGGGAUGCGUCUGAUUAGCUUGUUGGCGGGGUAACGGCCCACCAAGGCGACGAUCAGUAGGGGUUCUGAGAGGAAGGUCCCCCACAUUGGAACUGAGACACGGUCCAAACUCCUACGGGAGGCAGCAGUGAGGAAUAGUGGUCAAUGGGCGAGAGCCUGAACCAGCCAAGUAGCGUGCAGGAUGACGGCCCUAUGGGUUGUAAACUGCUUUUAUGUGGGGAUAAAGUGCGUGACGUGUCAUGCAUUGCAGGUACCACAUGAAUAAGGACCGGCUAAUUCCGUG
rnacentral:rRNA from 1 species